rnacentral:rRNA from 1 species
GACGAACGCUGGCGGCGUGCUUAACACAUGCGAGUCGAACGGUGAAGCGCUUGCCUUUUUGGUGGGUGUGGAUGAGUGGCGAACGGGUGAGUAACACGUGAGUAACCUGCCCUCUUCUUCUGGAUAACCUCAUGAAAGUGGGGCUAAUACGGGGUAUUCCGGGUCUGUCGCAUGGCGGGUUUGGGAAAGAUUGCGCCUUUGGGUGUUUUCGGUGGGGGAUGGGCUCGCGGCCUAUCAGCUUGUUGGUGGGGUGAUGGCCUACCAAGGCGGUGACGGGUAGCCGGCCUGAGAGGGUGGACGGCCACACUGGGACUGAGACACGGCCCAGACUCCUGCGGGAGGCAGCAGUGGGGAAUAUUGCACAAGGGGCGCAAGCCUGAUGCAGCGACGCCGCGUGAGGGAUGGAGGCCUUCGGGUUGUGAACCUCUUUCGCCAGUGAAGCAGGCCUGCUCCUGUGUGGGUGGGUUGACGGUAGCUGGAUAAGAAGCGCCGGCUAACUACGUG